CGUUUGUAUUUUGCCUUGGAUAGAAAACAAUCUUAGGACUGUAGAUGCUAAUUCUAUCAAACUGCCAUCAAAGCAACUCCUUUAUUACGUUAACGGCUACCACCGUUUCUUCUCUUUUUCUCUCCAUUUGCAGCGCCUGUUGUUGCUUUGUCUGAAUCGGGCACCUUCGUCCCUGGCCCAAGAGAAGUAGAAGACGAAAGCCUCUUCUUUGGCAAUACCACUUGCGGAGCCUUGGAUUUCUUCAACGGUUGUGGGUUGCUUGUAGUUUCUCCACUAGCCUUGGGGUUCCCAGCUUCCGCAUUACCAAAGGAACUUCUGCGUGACGAAGAGCUGCUACCAACGCUCUCACCAUCUUUGACAUUUGUAGAUGACCCACCACCGACGUUGUGCAUGUGGCUAGUCCCUUCGCUCUUCAUGCCCCUGGAAUCGUUGUUUGUCGGCAACUGGAUAGCUUUUCGGCUAGCUUUAGAGGCUGGAGAAGUCUUGAUGGAGGUUUCGGGUUUGAGAGAGUUUUUGAAGGAGGCCUGACCGUCGUUGGAUUCAGGAUCCCACGGACGAGAAGCCAUCCAUCGUUCAAGCCAACUCCAACCCCAAUCCGGAGUGUUUGCGUCCAUCAGAGUCUGGUGUGGAAGUUUUGAAGAGCUUCUCCACGUUUGCUGUUUCAUUUUUUUUCCAACAUAAAUCCAUAUAAUUAUGAAUAAUUUCAUGACGAAGUUUUUAUUAGAUUUAUAAAAUACCUGAUGACUAUAAGCA